rnacentral:rRNA from 1 species
AGAACGAACGCUGGCGGCAUGCCUAAUACAUGCAAGUCGAACGGACUCUUCGGAGUUAGUGGCGCACGGGUGCGUAACGCGUGGGAAUCUGCCCUUGGGUUCGGAAUAACAGUUGGAAACGACUGCUAAUACCGGAUGAUGACGAAAGUCCAAAGAUUUAUCGCCCAGGGAUGAGCCCGCGUAGGAUUAGCUAGUUGGUGAGGUAAAGGCUCACCAAGGCGACGAUCCUUAGCUGGUCUGAGAGGAUGAUCAGCCACACUGGGACUGAGACACGGCCCAGACU